rnacentral:rRNA from 1 species
AGAGUUUGAUCCUGGCUCAGAACGAACGCUGGCGGCGUGGCUAAGACAUGCAAGUCGAACGGACUAUCUAAUUGAGUAAUCGAGAGGAUAGUUAGUGGCGAAAGGGUGAGUAAUGGAUAGGUAAUGUACCCCGGGCUUCGGGAUAGCGUCGUUCACCUUCGGGUGAACUACCGAAAGGGACGGUAAUACCGAAUGACAUCACAGGUUGAUAGGCCUGUGAUCAAAGAUUUAUCGGCCUGGGAGCGGCCUAUCUCCUAUCAGCUUGUUGGUGAGGUAAGAGCUCACCAAGGCUAUGACGGGUAGCGGGACUGAGAGGUUGACCCGCCACAUCGGGACUGAGACACUGCCCGGACCUCCACGGAGGGCUGCAGUAACGAAUCUUGCGCAAUGGGCGAAAGCCUGACGCAGCAACGCCGCGUGUAGGAGGAAGUCUUUCGGGAUGUAAACUACUGUCAGGGGUAAGAAAGUGUGCUUCGGCGCA